rnacentral:lncRNA from 1 species
ACCUUGAGAGCCCUGGGCUACUCUGUCACAGCCCCUGUUGCCCUGCGAUCUGUAGGUCCUUGGGGACGCAUAGUUAAGGUGCCAGGACAUCCUGGAAGCUGGGAAAUGACCAUGGCUGGAGAAGGAAAGAAGGUGUGUUUUGCCUGAUUCAGGGACUAUAGAGAGAACCAAGUUCUGCAGGCCUGUCAUCUAAGUCUCAGGGCGGGGAGACCUUCCUUCCCCACGGGUUUGAGGCUAUGGCUAAGUGGUGAGCCUUGGUGAGACGCAGAAAGGAUCCAUCCCAGGCACUUGGCUAGAGGCAGGUUCCUGGGAUCUGAUAAAACUGAUAUUGGAGACGCUGGAGCUGAUCCGACAUAGCAAUGGUGUUGACUCCCUCCUUAUGUGUGGAUUGCUCAGCGGGGGAACUUGACUGUCCAACAUGCUGGGUGCAAGAACAGCAGAAAGGGGACUUUUAAGAUGUGGCAAACAUGAGGCCUCUUCGGAGAGGACUUUGGAAACCAGGCCUUGCUUGGCUGAAUGCUAUCCCAGUGAUUGUACGUGCCCUGUUUGCUGAAUCUACUCAUCCUUAAGGGUACAUUUGCUUCCAGGUAACAUGUUUGUGACUAAUACUACAAUGUGCAUAUAUCUAUUCCAUGUUCUGCUUUGUCUGUUUGGGAUAUUUUUCAUACACUGAUUCAGUACCAUGUGUAUUCCCUUGCUUUUGUUGUCUC